ACGAACGCUGGCGGCGUGCUUAACACAUGCCCGUCGAACGGAAAGGCCCUGCUUUCGUGGGGUGCUCGAGUGGCGAACGGGUGAGUAACACGUGAGUAACCUGCCCUUGACUUUGGGAUAACUUCAGGAAACUGGGGCUAAUACCGGAUAGGAGCUCCUGCUGCAUGGUGGGGGUUGGAAAGUUUCGGCGGUUGGGGAUGGACUCGCGGCUUAUCAGCUUGUUGGUGGGGUAGUGGCUUACCAAGGCUUUGACGGGUAGCCGGCCUGAGAGGGUGACCGGCCACAUUGGGACUGAGAUACGGCCCAGACUCCUACGGGAGGCAGCAGUGGGGAAUAUUGCACAAUGGGCGGAAGCCUGAUGCAGCAACGCCGCGUGCGGGAUGACGGCCUUCGGGUUGUAAACCGCUUUCGCCUGUGACGAAGCGUGAGUGACGGUAAUGGGUAAAGAAGCACCGGCUAACUACGUG
rnacentral:rRNA from 1 species